UCUAGUCAAAGGCAAAUUUAUUGAAAAAUAAAGACGCAAAGUUACAGAUCUAAGGGGAGUGAAGACCUUUUAUUCAUCCCUAUGAUGGCUGAGCUGCCUAG
rnacentral:ncRNA from 1 species